rnacentral:lncRNA from 1 species
GGAGGAGAAGGGAAAAGAAAACUCCCCUGGUCAUGGUGGCAAUUGCCAAUUUUGGACUGUCAGGGAGAGGUCUUCCACCACAGGAUUCAGCAAGGAAGUCUUGAGGAAGAACUGCUUCAGCCUCCAAAUUUGAUCAAGCAGGGAGAUGUCCUCUAUAGCUGGAUCCAAGAAGAAACAAUGAUUCUUGAUGAGCGGGUUCAGCUGGUGACUAUUGAUAUUCAAGCUUUUGUGUACACUGCCACCCUUGUCUUCCACUGUGGGUGUUUGUUGAUCAAACUCAUGUGUACCUCCUGCAAUAUGGUUAGUGCAAUGUGGUUCUACAAAAAUAACAUUCAGAGGUAUAACACUCAAUCUCAGUGUAACAAGCUGACCCUCAGAUUUAUUCUCAAAACAUGAAUCACUUUCAAAUGUAGAAACAAUAUCAAC